GGGCGCGCCUACAAAAUGGCGGCCUGGCGCCUGCGGCUGUGUCGGACAGGGGUUGGCGGCGGGCAGCCGGCUGUCGCGGGGACGUGGCCCCAGCACCCCCUGGGGGGGCGGCCGGACGCUGCUGAGGGAAAUCAGGGUGGAGAGAGAAUAACUAUACCCUCUGUCAGGAAAGAAGUAAUGCUGCACUUCAGUGGCUUCCCCCCUUUACAGGCUAUGUGGCAAGAUGAUGAUGGUGAGAGAAGGAAGUGCUUUUGGGAAGAAGUUCUCAAGUUCCUGGAUGGUCACCAGGGAAGAUAUCAAUCUGAGGCUAGCCACUGUUCAGCAGAGAAAUGUCGCUUGAUGUUUGGGGCUGACCAAUGCUAUGAGCUGCUGAAGGCCAGAAACAAGUCUUCUCCUCCACACAAGCAGCUGAGGUCCUUCUCCUGCCUGGCCUUAUAAGUUGGAGUGCAGUGAGCAGCACUCUUCACAGUCUUCUCAGAAGUCCAGUACAGUCAGAAGAAUGGGAAUGGUCUGGUUAAAAAUGAAGAGUUCAAGUGCUGGUGGAGAGCAAAGAGCUUUGUGGAGCUGCUGAGAGGGCUUCCCCUGAAUUUGCAAAUUGGAGAGUCAUCAGUCUCUGGUGAGGAGUGUGCUGGGAUCCCCACCCUGUCAGGCAGGAGAGAUCUGCGCUGGAGCAACUGUCCUGAGCGAUUUAGUAUGACUCUUUUUUCCCAGUUUUUUGGUUGUUACUGAGCUGCAUUGUUUAAAUUUAACUGUAAGAUUAAGGGUUGAGUGCAAAAUGGAGCUGUUUAGCAAGGGAUGCAACAUGUGCUUUCCUUUUAAUGUAAAAUCACAGAAUUCCAAGUUAUCCAUAAAAUCAAAUCCUGUGGAAAAGCAAUUUUGGAGUGGGAAAUUAAUUUUAACAUUGUGUUAUUUCCACUGUAAUAGAAGAUUAACAAAAAAUACCUUUGGGGGGGGGAGAUUGAGACACUUUUCCUGGAAAUGUCAAUAUAGAGUUUUAUGACAUUGCUAUAACACUUUGGUCUCGAUUGCUUCAAAAUAAAAAUUUGGCAACAUUCUACUUUGUAAGUCUC
rnacentral:lncRNA from 1 species